rnacentral:rRNA from 1 species
AACGAACGCUGGCGGCAGGCUUAACACAUGCAAGUCGAGCGCCCCGCAAGGGGAGCGGCAGACGGGUGAGUAACGCGUGGGAAUCUACCCAUCUCUACGGAAUAACGCAUGGAAACGUGUGUUAAUACCGUAUACGUCCUUCGGGAGAAAGAUUUAUCGGAGAUGGAUGAGCCCGCGUGGGAUUAGCUAGUUGGUGGGGUAAAGGCCUACCAAGGCGAAGAUCCAUAGCUGGUCUGAGAGGAUGAUCAGCCACACUGGGACUGAGACACGGCCCAGACUCCUACGGGAGGCAGCAGUGGGGAAUAUUGGACAAUGGGCGCAAGCCUGAUCCAGCCAUGCCGCGUGAGUGAUGAAGGCCCUAGGGUUGUAAAGCUCUUUCACCGGUGAAGAUAAUGACGGUAACCGGAGAAGAAGCCCCGGCUAACUUCGUGCCAGCAGCCGCAGUAACAC